rnacentral:rRNA from 1 species
CCUACGUGAGGCUGCAGUAGGGAAUUUUGCGCAAUGGGCGAAAGCCUGACGCAGCAACGCCGCGUGAUCGAGACGCCCUUCGGGGUGUAAAGAUCUGUCAGUGGGACGAAACUUGACGGUACCCACAGAGGAAGCACCGGCUAACUCCGUGCCAGCAGCCGCGGUAAUACGGGGGGUGCAAGCGUUGUCCGGAAUCAUUGGGCGUAAAGAGUUCGUAGGCGGCACGUAACGUCUGGUGUUAAAGGCAGAGGCUCAACUUCUGUACGGCACUGGAUACUUGCGAGCUAGAAUGCGGUAGAGGUAAAGGGAAUUCCUGGUGUAGCGGUGAAAUGCUUAGAUAUCUGGAGGAACAUCAGGGGCGAAGGCGACUAUCUGGCACAUAACUGACGCUGAGGAGCGAAAGCGUGGGUAGCAAACAGGAUUAGAGACCCGAGUAGUC